GAUGGUAGCUUGCUACCAGGCGUCGAGCGGCGGACGGGUGAGUAAUACUUAGGAAUCUACCUAGUAGUGGGGGAUAGCACGGGGAAACUCGUAUUAAUACCGCAUACGACCUACGGGAGAAAGGGGGCAGUUUACUGCUCUCGCUAUUAGAUGAGCCUAAGUCGGAUUAGCUAGAUGGUGGGGUAAAGGCCUACCAUGGCGACGAUCUGUAGCUGGUCUGAGAGGAUGAUCAGCCACACCGGGACUGAGACACGGCCCGGACUCCUACGGGAGGCAGCAGUGGGGAAUAUUGGACAAUGGGGGAAACCCUGAUCCAGCCAUGCCGCGUGUGUGAAGAAGGCCUUUUGGUUGUAAAGCACUUUAAGCAGUGAAGAAGACUCCUCGGUUAAUACCCGUGGACGAUGACAUUAGCUGCAGAAUAAGCACCGGCUAACUCUGUGCCAGCAGCCGCGGUAAUACAGAGGGUGCAAGCGUUAAUCGGAAUUACUGGGCGUAAAGCGAGCGUAGGUGGCUUGAUAAGUCA
rnacentral:rRNA from 1 species